rnacentral:rRNA from 1 species
UAGGGAAUCUUUCCGCAAUGGGCGAAAGCCUGAUGGAGCAACGCCGCGUGUGUGAUGAAGGGUUUCGGCUCGUAAACUCUGUUGUUAAAGAAGAACAUAUCUGAGAGUAACUGUUCAGGUAUUGACGGUAUUUAACCAGAAAGCCACGGCUAACUACGUGCUAG